rnacentral:rRNA from 1 species
ACACUCCUACGGGAGGCAGCAGUGGGGAAUUUUGGACAAUGGGCGAAAGCCUGAUCCAGCCAUGCCGCGUGCAGGAUGAAGGCCUUCGGGUUGUAAACUGCUUUUGUACGGAACGAAACGGCCUUUUCUAAUAAAGAGGGCUAAUGACGGUACCGUAAGAAUAAGCACCGGCUAACUACGUGCCAGCAGCCGCGGUAAUACGUAGGGUGCAAGCGUUAAUCGGAAUUACUGGGCGUAAAGCGUGCGCAGGCGGUUAUGUAAGACAGUUGUGAAAUCCCCGGGCUCAACCUGGGAACUGCAUCUGUGACUGCAUAGCUAGAGUACGGUAGAGGGGGAUGGAAUUCCGCGUGUAGCAGUGAAAUGCGUAGAUAUGCGGAGGAACUCCGAUGGCGAAGGCAAUCCCCUGGACCUGUACUGACGCUCAUGCACGAAAGCGUGGGGAGCAAACAGGAUUAGAAACCCCUGUAGUCCCAUGA